UCCUGACUGACCGAUAGUGAACCAGUACCGUGAGGGAAAGGCGAAAAGAACCCCGGCGAGGGGAGUGAAAAAGAACCUGAAACCGUGUACGUACAAGCAGUGGGAGCACGCUUCGGCGUGUGACUGCGUACCUUUUGUAUAAUGGGUCAGCGACUUAUAUUCUGUAGCAAGGUUAACCGAAUAGGGGAGCCGAAGGGAAACCGAGUCUUAACUGGGCGUUAAGUUGCAGGGUAUAGACCCGAAACCCGGUGAUCUAGCCAUGGGCAGGUUGAAGGUUGGGUAACACUAACUGGAGGACCGAACCGACUAAUGUUGAAAAAUUAGCGGAUGACUUGUGGCUGGGGGUGAAAGGCCAAUCAAACCGGGAGAUAGCUGGUUCUCCCCGAAAGCUAUUUAGGUAGCGCCUCGUGAAUUCAUCUCCGGGGGUAGAGCACUGUUUCGGCAAGGGGGUCAUCCCGACUUACCAACCCGAUGCAAACUGCGAAUACCGGAGAAUGUUAUCACGGGAGACACACGGCGGGUGCUAACGUCCGUCGUGAAGAGGGAAACAACCCAGACCGCCAGCUAAGGUCCCAAAGUCAUGGUUAAGUGGGAAACGAUGUGGGAAGGCCCAGACAGCCAGGAUGUUGGCUUAGAAGCAGCCAUCAUUUAAAGAAAGCGUAAUAGCUCACUGGUCGAGUCGGCCUGCGCGGAAGAUGUAACGGGGCUAAACCAUGCACCGAAGCUGCGGCAGCGACACUAUGUGUUGUUGGGUAGGGGAGCGUUCUGUAAGCCUGUGAAGGUGUACUGUGAGGUAUGCUGGAGGUAUCAGAAGUGCGAAUGCUGACAUAAGUAACGAUAAAGCGGGUGAAAAGCCCGCUCGCCGGAAGACCAAGGGUUCCUGUCCAACGUUAAUCGGGGCAGGGUGAGUCGACCCCUAAGGCGAGGCCGAAAGGCGUAGUCGAUGGGAAACAGGUUAAUAUUCCUGUACUUGGUGUUACUGCGAAGGGGGGACGGAGAAGGCUAUGUUGGCCGGGCGACGGUUGUCCCGGUUUAAGCGUGUAGGCUGGUUUUCCAGGCAAAUCCGGAAAAUCAAGGCUGAGGCGUGAUGACGAGGCACUACGGUGCUGAAGCAACAAAUGCCCUGCUUCCAGGAAAAGCCUCUAAGCAUCAGGUAACAUCAAAUCGUACCCCAAACCGACACAGGUGGUCAGGUAGAGAAUACCAAGGCGCUUGAGAGAACUCGGGUGAAGGAACUAGGCAAAAUGGUGCCGUAACUUCGGGAGAAGGCACGCUGAUAUGUAGGUGAAGCGACUUGCUCGUGGAGCUGAAAUCAGUCGAAGAUACCAGCUGGCUGCAACUGUUUAUUAAAAACACAGCACUGUGCAAACACGAAAGUGGACGUAUACGGUGUGACGCCUGCCCGGUGCCGGAAGGUUAAUUGAUGGGGUUAGCGGUAACGCGAAGCUCUUGAUCGAAGCCCCGGUAAACGGCGGCCGUAACUAUAACGGUCCUAAGGUAGCGAAAUUCCUUGUCGGGUAAGUUCCGACCUGCACGAAUGGCGUAAUGAUGGCCAGGCUGUCUCCACCCGAGACUCAGUGAAAUUGAACUCGCUGUGAAGAUGCAGUGUACCCGCGGCAAGACGGAAAGACCCCGUGAACCUUUACUAUAGCUUGACACUGAACAUUGAGCCUUGAUGUGUAGGAUAGGUGGGAGGCUUUGAAGUGUGG
rnacentral:rRNA from 1 species